UGGUGGAGCGAUUUGUCUGGUUAAUUCCGAUAACGAACGAGACUCUAGCCUACUAAAUAGUUCGGGGACCCCCACAAAGGGGUCCAGCUUAAACUUCUUGGAGGGGACAGGUGGCGUUUAGCCACACGAGAUUGAGCAAUAACA
rnacentral:rRNA from 1 species